rfam:Felis catus isolate Cinnamon breed Abyssinian chromosome E1, whole genome shotgun sequence.
GCCUGAGUGGCUCAGUCGGUUGAGCGUCUGACUUCAGCUCAGGUCACGAUCUCAGCUUGUGAGUUCGAGCCCCGCGUCGGGCU